rnacentral:rRNA from 1 species
GACGAACGCUGGCGACGUGCUUAACACAUGCAAGUCGAACGAUGAAGCCCUUUCGGGGGUGGAUUAGUGGCGAACGGGUGAGUAACACGUGGGUAACCUGCCCUGUACCCUGGGAUAAGCCUUGGAAACGAGGUCUAAUACCGGAUAUGACCUGCUCUCGCAUGGGGGGUGGGUGGAAAGUUUUGGCGGUGCGGGAUGGACCCGCGGCCUAUCAGCUUGUUGGUGGGGUGAUGGCCUACCAAGGCGACGACGGGUAGCCGGCCUGAGAGGGCGACCGGCCACACUGGGACUGAGACACGGCCCAGACUCCUACGGGAGGCAGCAGUGGGGAAUAUUGCACAAUGGGCGAAAGCCUGAUGCAGCGACGCCGCGUGAGGGAUGACGGCCUU